rnacentral:rRNA from 1 species
AAACCAACCGGGAUUGCCUUAGUAACGGCGAGUGAAGCGGCAAAAAGCUCAAAUUUGAAAUCUGGUACCUUCGGUGCCCGAGUUGUAAUUUGGAGAGGGCAACUUUGGGGCCGUUCCUUGUCUACGUUCCUUGGAACAGGACGUCAUAGAGGGUGAGAAUCCCGUGUGGCGAGGAGUGCGGUUCUUUGUAAAGUGCCUUCGAAGAGUCGAGUUGUUUGGGAAUGCAGCUCUAAGUGGGUGGUAAAUUCCAUCUAAAGCUAAAUAUUGGCGAGAGACCGAUAGCGAACAAGUACAGUGAUGGAAAGAUGAAAAGAACUUUGAAAAGAGAGUGAAAAGGUACGUGAAAUUGUUGAAAGGGAAGGGCAUUUGAUCAGACAUGGUGUUUUGUGCCCUCUGCUCCUUGUGGGUAGGGGAAUCUCGCAUUUCACUGGGCCAGCAUCAGUUUUGGUGGCAGGAUAAAUCCAUAGGAAUGUAGCUUGCCUCGGUAAGUAUUAUAGCCUGUGGGAAUACUGCCAGCUGGGA